GAUGAACGCUGGCGGCGUGCCUAAUACAUGCAAGUCGAGCGAACAGACGAGGAGCUUGCUCCUCUGACGUUAGCGGCGGACGGGUGAGUAACACGUGGAUAACCUACCUAUAAGACUGGGAUAACUUCGGGAAACCGGAGCUAAUACCGGAUAAUAUAUUGAACCGCAUGGUUCAAUGGUGAAAGACGGUUUUGCUGUCACUUAUAGAUGGAUCCGCGCCGCAUUAGCUAGUUGGUAAGGUAACGGCUUACCAAGGCAACGAUGCGUAGCCGACCUGAGAGGGUGAUCGGCCACACUGGAACUGAGACACGGUCCAGACUCCUACGGGAGGCAGCAGUAGGGAAUCUUCCGCAAUGGGCGAUAGCCUGACGGAGCAACGCCGCGUGAGUGAUGAAGGUCUUCGGAUCGUAAAACUCUGUUAUUAGGGAAGAACAAAUGUGUAAGUAACUAUGCACGUCUUGACGGUACCUAAUCAGAAAGCCACGGCUAACUACGUG
rnacentral:rRNA from 1 species